rnacentral:rRNA from 1 species
AUUGAACGCUAGCGGGAUGCUUCACACAUGCAAGUCGAACGGAGUGGCGGACGGGUGAGUAAUAUAUCGGAACGUGCCCAGUAGCGGGGGAUCACUACUCGAAAGAGUCGCUAAUACCGCAUUCUAUUAGAGCCGCCGAUAUGGGAGUAGCUAGUGGGUGGGGUAAAGGCUCACCAAGGCCACGAUCCGUAUCUGGUCUGAGAGGACGAACAGCCACACUGGGACUGAGACACGGCCCAGACUCCUACGGGAGGCAGCAGUGGGGAAUUUUGGACAAUGGGGGAAAGCCUGAUGCAGCCAUCCCGCGUGUAUGAUGAAGGCCUUCGGGUUGUAAAGUACUUUUGGCCGGGAAGCGUUAUCUGCAGAAUAAGCACCGGCUAACUACGUGCCAGCAGCCGCGGUAAUAC